CUUAAAGAAAUUGGCGGNGAGGCGCGCACAAGCGGUGGAGCAUGUGGUUUAAUUCGAUGCUACGCGAAGAACCUUACCAGGUCUUGACAUCUUCUGCCAACCUAAGAGAUUAGGCGUUCCCUUCGGGGACAGAAUGACAGGUGGUGCAUGGUUGUCGUCAGCUCGUGUCGUGAGAUGUUGGGUUAAGUCCCGCAACGAGCGCAACCCUUAUUGUUAGUUGCCAGCAUUCAGUUGGGCACUCUAGCAAGACUGCCGGUGACAAACCGGAGGAAGGUGGGGAUGACGUCAAAUCAUCAUGCCCCUUAUGACCUGGGCUACACACGUGCUACAAUGGACGGUACAACGAGUCGCGAAACCGCGAGGCCAAGCUAAUCUCUUAAAGCCGUUCUCAGUUCGGAUUGUAGGCUGCAACUCGCCUACAUGAAGUUGGAAUCGCUAGUAAUCGUGGAUCAGCAUGCCACGGUGAAUACGUUCCCGCGCCUUGCACACACCGCCCG
rnacentral:rRNA from 2 species